rnacentral:lncRNA from 1 species
AUUGUCUGAUUACAUCGCUCCGCAACCCAUGGUGGGUUAUCAACCAAUGAAGUUUGAGUUCCCUGAUGAGGACAUCUCGAGGUGCUCCAAUCGAAAGAUUGAGAGUAACCGAUCCCGGAGGAGGGGCCUGACCCUGAAUCCGAACGGAUUCUGAUGUCUGAUGGGGAGGUUAAGGUGAAUGAGUUUUUGUUGCCCAGACAACGUUUGAA